UUAGUACUAUAUGAGUACUGUAUUAGUACUAUAUGUCCACUGUAAUACUACUAUAUGACUACUGUAUUAGUACUAUAUGACUCCUGUAUUAGUACUAUAUGACUCCUGUAUUAGUACUAUAUGACCACUGUAUUAGUACUAUAUGACCACUGUAUUAAUACUAUAUGACUACUGUAUUAGUACUAUAUGACCACUGUAUUUGUACUAUAUGACUACUGUAAUACUACUCUGACUACUGUAUUAGUACUAUAUGACUACUGUAAUAGUACUAUAUGACUACUGUAUUAGUACUAUAUGACUACUGUAUUAGUACUAUAUGACUACUGUAAUAAUACUCUGACUACUGUAUUAGUACUAUAUGACUACUGUAUUAGUACUAUAUGACUACUGUAAUACUACUCUGACUACUGUAUUAGUACUAUAUGACUACUGUAAUAGUACUCUGACUACUGUAUUAGUACUAUAUGACUACUGUAAUAGUACUCUGACUACUGUAUUAGUACUAUAUGACUACUGUAUUAGUACUAUAUGACUACUGUAAUAGUACUCUGACUACUGUAUUAGUACUAUAUGACUACUGUAAUAGUACUCUGACUACUGUAUUAGUACUAUAUGACUACUGUAUUAGUACUAUAUGACUACUGUAAUACUACUCUGACUACUGUAUUAGUACUAUAUGACUACUGUAUUAGUACUAUAUGACUACUGUAAUACUACUCUGACUACUGUAUUCAUUUCUUACUACUACUAUGAUGCCUGAUUUUAUCUUGGGUUGCGUCUCCAAUGGCACUCUUAUCUACAUUGUGCACUACUAUUGACCAGAGCCCUGUGGACCUUGGUCAAACACAGUGCACUGCAUAGCCUAGGGAAUAGGGUGCCAUUUGGGAAGCACUUUGCUUUGUACAAAAUGGGCUGAAAGCUGUUUAUGCUGUUGGCCCAAGCACAUGGAUCUCCACUUAGCUUGUUAGAAGAAGAUAAUAGCCAUGAUCAAUGUGUUGCCAACAGAUUGGUAAUUCCUCACGAAUGCACUGACAUUUCUUGCAAUUACUUUUUGAAAAGCCAGUGUUACAAUGUUCGUCAUCUAUUGUUGUUUAACUACAUAGCGAAUUUUCUGUUGAAAGUGGAAAGAAGAACUGAAUUUGAGCUGUGAAGUGAUAAUUGGCAGCUUUAUGCUUGAAGAUCAGUCCCUGCAGGAUUCUGUACUUCUGCGAUCUGAAAUUUGAAAGAAAUCAUCGCAUAUGCAAAAUGUCAGAAAUCAAAAUCAAGAAUUUUUGCCCACAAAAUAACAGAAAAAGUCCCUGUGAAAUCCUGAAGGGACUGGUAGAUGCUCCGUGAAAGACAUUUGUAUAUGAUAUAGCCUGGUGCUUUUGGCCAGGCUCUAUUCAAUUACUAAGGUUAGCUUGGAUUUGGAUUUGCACAAUACUUGUAGCUUUCACCAAAUUCCCAGGUUUUCCAGAAAUCCCGGUUUGAAGGAUUCCUGAUUCCCUGCUGAUUCUAGGAAUCUUCCAAAUCAAAUCAAAAGGUAUUUGUCACAUGCUCGGUAAACAACAAGUGUAGACUGCCAGUGAAAUGCUUGGUAAACAACAGGUGUAGACUGCCAGUGAAAUGCUCGGUAAACAACAAGUGUAGACUGCCAGUGAAAUGCUUGGUAAACAACAGGUGUAGACUGCCAGUGAAAUGCUUGGUAAACAACAGGUGUAGACUGCCAGUGAAAUGCUUGGUAAACAACAGGUGUAGACUGCCAGUGAAAUGCUUGGUAAACAACAGGUGUAGACUGCCAGUGAAAUGCUUGGUAAACAACAGGUGUAGACUGCCAGUGAAAUGCUUGGUAAACAACAGGUGUAGACUGCCAGUGAAAUGCUUGGUAAACAACAGGUGUAGACUGCCAGUGAAAUGCUUGGUAAACAACAGGUGUAGACUGCCAGUGAAAUGCUUGGUAAACAACAGGUGUAGACUGCCAGUGAAAUGCUUGGUAAACAACAGGUGUAGACUGCCAGUGAAAUGCUUGGUAAACAACAGGUGUAGACUGCCAGUGAAAUGCUUGGUAAACAACAGGUGUAGACUGCCAGUGAAAUGCUUGGUAAACAACAGGUGUAGACUGCCAGUGAAAUGCUUGGUAAACAACAGGUGUAGACUGCCAGUGAAAUGCUUGGUAAACAACAGGUGUAGACUGCCAGUGAAAUGCUGACUGACGGGUCCUUCAGAACAAUGUAGAGAAAAAAUAGAAAAAUAAUAAAUAAACAAAUAAUAAAUGAGUAACAACUUGGCAGUAUACACUGGGUACCAGGUAAUAACAUGGUUAUAUACACUGGGUACCAGGUAAUAACAUGGUUAUAUACACUGGGUACCAGGUAAUAACAUGGUUAUAUACACUGGGUACCAGGUAAUAACAUGGUUAUAUACACUGGGUACCAGGUAAUAACAUGGUUAUAUACACUGGGUACCAGGUAAUAACAUGGUUAUAUACACUGGGUACCAGGUAAUAACAUGGUUAUAUACACUGGGUACCAGGUAAUAACAUGGUUAUAUACACUGGGUACCAGGUAAUAACAUGGUUAUAUACACUGGGUACCAGGUAAUAACAUGGUUAUAUACACUGGGUACCAGGUAAUAACAUGGUUAUAUACACUGGGUACCAGGUAAUAACAUGGUUAUACACACUGGGUACCAGGUAAUAACAUGGUUAUACACACUGGGUACCAGGUAAUAACAUGGUUAUACACACUGGGUACCAGGUAAUAACAUGGUUAUAUACACUGGAUACCAGGUAAUAACAUGGUUAUAUACACAGGGUACCAGGUAAUAACAUGGUUAUAUUCACAGGGUACCAGUACUGAGUCGAUGUGCAGGGGUAUGAGGUAAUAACAUGGUUAUAUACACAGGGUACCAGUACUGAGUAGAUGUAGAGGGGUAUGAGGUCAUAACAUGGUUAUAUACACAGGGUACCAGUACUGAGUUAUUGUACAGGGGUAUGAGGUCAUAACAUGGUUAUAUACACAGGGUACCAGUACUGAGUUAUUGUACAGGGGUAUGAGGUCAUAACAUGGUUAUAUACACAGGGUACCAGUACUGAGUUAUUGUACAGGGGUAUGAGGUCAUAACAUGGUUAUAUACACAGGGUACCAGUACUGAGUAGAUGUGCAGGGGUAUGAGGUAAUAACAUGGUUAUAUACACAGGGUACCAGUACUGAGUGGAUGUACAGGGGUAUGAGGUCAUACCAUGGUUAUAUACACAGGGUACCAGUACUGAGUGGAUGUACAGGGGUAUGAGGUAAUAACAUGGUUAUAUACACAUGGUACCAGUACUGAGUAGAUGUACAGGGGUAUGAGGUAAUAACAUGGUUAUAUACACAUGGUACCAGUACGGAGUAGAUGUGCAGGGGUAUGAGGUAAUAACAUGGUUAUAUACACAGGGUACUAGUACUGAGUCGAUGUGCAGGGGUAUGAGGUAAUAACAUGGUUAUAUACACAGGGUACCAGUACUGAGUCGAUGUGCAGGUGUAUGAGGUAAUAACAUGGUUAUAUACACUGGGUACCAGUAUUGAGUCAAUGUGCAGGGGUAUGAGGUAAUAACAUGGUUAUAUACACAGGGUACCAGUACUGAGUAGCUGUAGAAGGGUACGAGGUAAUAACAUGGUUAUAUACACAGGGUACCAGUACUGAGUAGAUGUAGAAGGGUACGAGGUAAUAACAUGGUUAUAUACACAGGGUACCAGUACUGAGUAGAUGUAGAGGGGUAUGAGGUAAUAACAUGGUUAUAUACACAGGGUACUAGUACUGAGUAGAUGUACAGGGGUAUGAGGUAAUAACAUGAUUAUAUACACGGGGUACCAGUACUGAGUAGAUGUAGAGGGGUAUGAGGUAAUAACAUGGUUAUAUACACAGGGUACCAGUACUGAUGACAUACUACAUGCAGACACAGUAACAUGGUUAUAUACACAGGGCACCAGUACUGAUGAAAUACUACAUGCAGACACAGUAACAUGGUUAUAUACACAGGGCACCAGUACUGAUGAAAUACUACAUGCAGACACAGUAACAUGGUUAUAUACACAGGGCACCAGUACUGAUGAAAUACUACAUGCAGACACAGUAACAUGGUUAUAUACACAGGGCACCAGUACUGAUGAAAUACUACAUGCAGACACAGUAACGUGGUUAUAUACACAGGGCACCAGUACUGAUGAAAUACUACAUGCAGACACAGUAACAUGGUUAUAUACACAGGGCACCAGUACUGAUGAAAUACUACAUGCAGACACAGUAACAUGGUUAUAUACACAGGGCACCAGUACUGAUGAAAUACUACAUGCAGACACAGUAACAUGGUUAUAUACACAGGGCACCAGUACUGAUGAAAUACUACAUGCAGACACAGUAACAUGGUUAUAUACACAGGGCACCAGUACUGAUGAAAUACUACAUGCAGACACAGUAACAUGGUUAUAUACACAUGGUACCAGUACUGAGUAGAUGUACAGGGGUAUGAGGUAAUAACAUGGUUAUAUACACAGGGCACCAGUACUGAUGAAAUACUACAUGCAGACACAAUAACAUGAAGUUACAGAUCAGGUGACCGGAGAGAGACGGCCUCCCAAGUAACACUCUACUUCCUAUAUAGUGCUCUACGUUUGACCAGAGCGUGGGCUCUGUGCAGGGAAUAGGAUGUCCUGGCCCCAUUCGGCUCUGUGUAGGGAAUAGGAUGUCCUGGGCCCAUUCGGCUCUGGUCAAGGGUAUUGCUCUGUGUCGGGAAUAGGAUGUCCUGGGCCCAUUCGGCUCUGGUCAAGGGUAUUGCUCUGUGCAGGGAAUAGGAUGUCCUGGGCCCAUUCGGCUCUGGUCAAGGGUAUUGCUCUGUGUAGGGAAUAGGAUGUCCUGGGCCCAUUCGGCUCUGGUCAAGGGUAUUGCUCUGUGUAGGGAAUAGGAUGUCCUGGGCCCAUUCGGCUCUGUGUAGGGAAUAGGAUGUCCUGGGCCCAUUCGGCUCUGGUCAAGGGUAUUGCUCUGUGUAGGGAAUAGGAUGUCCUGGCCCCAUUCGGCUCUGUGUAGGGAAUAGGAUGUCCUGGGCCCAUUCGGCUCUGGUCAAGGGUAUUGCUCUGUGUCGGGAAUAGGAUGUCCUGGGCCCAUUCGGCUCUGGUCAAGGGUAUUGCUCUGUGUAGGGAAUAGGAUGUCCUGGGCCCAUUCGGCUCUGGUCAAGGGUAUUGCUCUGUGUAGGGAAUAGGAUGUCCUGGGCCCAUUCGGCUCUGGUCAAGGGUAUUGCUCUGUGUCGGGAAUAGGAUGUCCUGGGCCCAUUCGGCUCUGGUCAAGGGUAUUGCUCUGUGUAGGGAAUAGGAUGUCCUGGGCCCAUUCGGCUCUGGUCAAGGGUAUUGCUCUGUGCAGGGAAUAGGAUGUCCUGGCCCCAUUCGGCUCUGGUCAAGGGUAUUGCUCUGUGUAGGGAAUAGGGUGCAUUUGGGAAGUACACAGAGAGAUUAGUUGAAUAACUCAACGCCUUGCAGCUCUAACAGAUUGGAUGCUUUUUUUUUUUUACAUACUGUAUUUAUGCUCUUUCAGGCUUCUGGAAAUGUGUUUUGUUCCUUCCUAUGUGCAUUGAUGAUGAUGAUGAUGAUGAUGAUGAUGAUGAUGAUGAUGAUGAUGAUGAUGAUGAUGAUGAUGAUGAUGAUGAAGCAAAUCUUAAUGAACAAAUCGUUUUUAUGCUUUUGGAGUAAAAAUGUCUCAAUCUUUCUCCUCGCAGUUUUUAGUUAAGUAUCUGUUCUGGAGAAACAGAGCAGUUCUGUAGCUAAAUAAAACGGAUAAAUCUUAUUUUUCAACCUUUUAUUUAUUUUAAAUGAAUAAAGGACACAAAGGUGAUUUAAAAUGAUCAUUGAAUAACCGACAUUUUAAAAUCCACAGUCUCUCUAGUUAAUAAUAAACCAACU